rnacentral:rRNA from 1 species
AACGAACGUUGGCGGCGUGGAUUAGGCAUGCAAGUCGAGCGAAUCCCAGCAAUGGGGGAAGCGGCGAAAGGGGCAGUAAGGCAUGGGUAACCUACCCUGGGGACUGGGAUAGCCCUUCGAGAGAAGGGGUAAUACCGGGCGACGUGCCGAGAAGGCAUCUUCUUGUCACCAAAUGAGUUUCGCCCUGGGAGGGGCCCAUGUGAUAUUAGCUAGUUGGUGGGGUAACGGCCCACCAAGGCGAAGAUGUCUAGCGGGUGUGAGAGCACGACCCGCGCCACUGGCACUGAGACACUGGCCAGACACCUACGGGUGGCUGCAGUCGAGGAUCUUCGGCAAUGGGCGCAAGCCUGACCGAGCGACGCCGCGUGUGCGAUGAAGGCCUUCGGGUUGUAAAGCACUGUCGAGAGGGAGAAAAGCGAAAGCUUGAUCUAUCUCUGGAGGAAGCACGGGCUAAGUUCGUGCCAGCAGCCGCCGUAACAC